rnacentral:rRNA from 1 species
CCUAGAAGAAUAUUCUAAGGCGCGCGAGUGAACCCUUGUUAAGGAACUCGGCAAAUUAUCCCCGUAACUUUGGGAGAAGGGGAGCCAGAACAUGUGAUUCUCCUAGCGAGAUGAGCGUGGUCUGGCCGCAGAGAAAUGGCCCAGGCGACUGUUUAUCAAAAACACAGCAUUAUGCAAAGACAUUAAGUCGCAGUAUAUGGUGUGAUGCCUGCCCAAUGCCAAAAGGUCAAAAGGAGAUGUUAGAACUUCGGUUCGAAGCAUUGAAUUUAAGUCCUGGUGAAUGGCGGCCGUAAUGAUAACGGUCCUAAGGUAGCGAAAUUCCUUGUCGGGUAAGUUUUGACCCGCACGAAUGGUAUAACGAUCUGGGCGCUGUCUCAACAAGGGGCUCGGUGAAAUUGUAGUAGCAGUAGAUGCUGUUUUCCCGCAAUUAGACGGAAAGACCCCGUGAACCUUUACUGUACUCUGGUAUUGGCUCUUGACUCAUUAUGUGUAGGAUAACCAGGAGACUUUGAAGUGGCGUCGUCAGGCGUCAUGGAGUCAACCUUGAAAUACCGGUCUUGAUGAGUUGAGAAUCUAACGUUGCCCCAUGAAAUUGGGGAACGGACAUUGCCAGAUGGGCAGUUUUACUGGGGCGGUAUCCUCCCAAAGAGUAACGGAGGAGUCCAAAGCUAGCCUCAUCGUGGUUAGUAAUCACGAAUAGAGCGUAAAGGUAUAAGGCUGGUUAACUGUGAGACCAAUAAGUCGAACAGAGACGAAAGUCGGGCUUAGUGAUCCGGCGGUUGAAUGUGGAAUCGCCGUCGCUCAACGGAUAAAAGGUACUCCGGGGAUAACAGGCUAAUCGCCACCAAGAGUUCAUAUCGACGUGGCGGUUUGGCACCUCGAUGUCGACUCAUCACAUCCUGGGGCUGAAGAAGGUCCCAAGGGCUUGGCUGUUCGCCAAUUAAAGUGGUACGCGAGUUGGGUUCAAAACGUCGUGAGACAGUUUGGUCCCUAUCUGUUGUGGGCGUAGGAUAUUUGAGAGGAGCUGUUUUUAGUACGAAAGGACCGAAAUGGACGAACCAAUGGUGAUCCGGUUGUUCUGCCAAGGGCAUAGCCGGGUAGCUACGUUCGGGAAGGAUAAGCGUUGAAAGUAUCUAAACGCCAAGCCUCCCUUAAGAUAAGAUAUCCCAAUGAGACUCCAUAUAGACUAUGUGGUUAAUAGGCUGGGUGUGUAAGCGCAGUAAUGCGUUGAGCUUACCAGUACUAACUGUCCAUUGGCUUGGCCUC